rnacentral:rRNA from 1 species
UACGUAGGCAGCGAGCGUUGUCCGGAAUUACUGGGCGUAAAGCGCGUGUAGGCGGCCCAGCAAGUCGGCUGUGAAAGCCCUGGGCUUAACCUAGGAAGUGCAUUCGAAACUGCUGGGCUUGAGUUCUGGAGAGGAAGGCGGAAUUCUCGGUGUAGAGGUGAAAUUCGUAGAUAUCGAGAGGAACACCGGUGGCGAAGGCGGCCUUCUGGACAGUGACUGACGCUGAGACGCGAAAGCGUGGGGAGCAAACAGG